CUACGGGUGGCUGCAGUAAGGAAUAUUGCACAAUGGGGGAAACCCUGAUGCAGCAACGCCGCGUGGACGAAGAAGGCCUUCGGGUCGUAGAGUCCUUUUCUGAGGGAAGAGGAAGGACGGUACCUCAGGAAUAAGUCUCGGCUAACUACGUGCCAGCAGCCGCGGUAAAACGUAGGAGGCGAGCGUUAUCCGGAUUCACUGGGCGUAAAGGGCAAGUAGGCGGUUGUUUAAGUUAGGUGUGACAUCUCUCGGCUUAACUGGGAGGGAGCGCUUAAAACUAGGCAACUAGAGGGCGGAAGAAGGGGGUAGAACUCCAAAUGUAGCGGUGGAAUGCUCAGAUAUUUGGAAGAAUACCAGUGGCGAAGGCGACCCCCCGGUCCGUGCCUGACGCUGAGAGGCGAAAGCUAGGGUAGCGAACGGGAUUAGAUACCCCGGUAGUC
rnacentral:rRNA from 1 species